rnacentral:rRNA from 1 species
GACGGGUGAGUAACACGUGGGCAACCUGCCCUGUAGACGGGGAUAACACCGAGAAAUCGGUGCUAAUACCGGAUAAUACGAAAGACCGCAUGGUCUUUCGUUGAAAGACGGCGCAGCUGUCGCUACAGGAUGGGCCCGCGGCGCAUUAGCUAGUUGGUGAGGUAACGGCUCACCAAGGCGACGAUGCGUAGCCGACCUGAGAGGGUGAUCGGCCACACUGGGACUGAGACACGGCCCAGACUCCUACGGGAGGCAGCAGUAGGGAAUCUUCCGCAAUGGACGAAAGUCUGACGGAGCAACGCCGCGUGAGCGAAGAAGGCCUUCGGGUCGUAAAGCUCUGUUGUUAGGGAAGAACAAGUACCGCAGUCACUGGCGGUACCUUGACGGUACCUAACGAGAAAGCCACGGCUAACUACGUGCCAGCAGCCGCGGUAAUACGUAGGUGGCAAGCGUUGUCCGGAAUUAUUGGGCGUAAAGCGCGCGCAGGCGGUUCCUUAAGUCUGAUGUGAAAGCCCACGGCUC